UUCUUUUUUUUUUUCCCCCUUCUCCCGCUGUUUCAUCUGAAACGGCGGUCGCAUAGCACACGGUUUCUCGGUGCGUUGGAAAAGCGUUUUUGGACGCUAGUAGUGUGCUCUGCUGCGCCCGUUGAGCAUGAGUUCGCCCCAGGUGGUGGAUUUGGAUUUGGAUUUGGAUAGGUGUAGAGUGGACCAAUUAUAGUACUGGGUCGCCGACAGGUGGAGUUGAGUAGUGAUCCUUCUUGCGUUUUUUGUGGCAGUGACAAGUAUCCUCCAUCUUUUUUCUACAAAUCUUAUUAUUAUUAUCAUUACUACUAUUUUUUGACUAAAUUUGGGAAAGAUUAAUAACUAGGGAUUACAGUCUUUUUCCGUUGUAGAGAUUAUAAUCUUUAGAUAAAUUCUAGUAAGAUUUUCUGAUACUAUAGUAUCUUAGUAUUUUAUUAAAGGUUUCUGGAUUUGAGUCUCAUAUUAAUUUUUUUUAAAAAAAAAAUCACUACUUGAUGGGAAACCAAGGGGCCAAAGGAAAAGCCCAAGUCUAAUAUCAA